GAAGAAGAUUUUUGACUUCAUCUUUUUAGAAAUACCUUUUGCUGUGCAAGUCCUCAUGUGAUUUUGGGUUAUAAGAUCAAGGUCAUUUUGGAGGGAAGGUUAAAAUAUUAUUUUCGAUGUUCCCAACUCAAGAUUAAUCUGUGGUUGGGAAAGAGAAAAUCGAGAUCAAAGAAGAGACUGUAGUUUGGCUAUGGAAACCCUAGUUUUCAUUACUCAACGCUUCAAUGGCCGCCAAAACCAAGACUUUUAGUCAAACAGUAGAUGAUUAAAAAGGAAUCAAUGAGCUUGAGGGUAGAUAUCCCGUGAGAACAGCCAGUUACAAACUAGACAACACAUGGAGAUUUAAUCAAGAACACCAAAUAUGUGUUCGAACAACAAUUCAUCAUGAUCAGGGUAGCAUAAAAUCAUCUUCACAAGCAGUCGCCAUAUUUACCAGGCUAAAAUAAAGGCAUGAGCCAUUUCUGCAUGGAGUUGAUCUCUCUCAUAGUAGUAGGUUGUCUCUUAUAGGACAGAUGGUGAAUUAUGAGCCUUCCAUGCCACAUCCUCAUAUAUUUGCAGGCAUAGGGAAUCUUUUUCCACCUCAGAAUGCAGGUUAUACACAUCUUUAAGACAAAGUGCGGAGAUCUUGAAACUCAUAAUAUGAAGGAAAACCUUUGUAAAGCCCAAGAGUCCUUCACACCAUCAUGAGGGUCUUCUAUGAUAUCAUCUUUGCAACAUUGGGAUUGUUCUCUUUCACUCUUUUGGGCUAUGACAAGCUGAUGUUUGCUGCUUUACGUGCUCCCAGUUGUCAUAUCUUUGAACUAGGGCUAUGAUCUUGUGUAGAAGCUUCCUUCACUAUGACAAGGAUUCUUUAUUGCUGCUCUUGAUUGUGGUUGUUGAAGCUUAGGAUCAUGGUUGUCCCAAGUGAUGUCUCUUAUUUGCGAUUUCUGAGACUCGUUACUGACAUUGCAGUAUUUUUUAUAAUUGUAUGACUAUUAUAGUGAAUUCAUAACUUUGGCCUGCUAGAUGUGUUUUUUUUCAGCUAUAGAAUCAUUGAAUUUUUUUUGAAAUUUUUUUUUUGUAGUUAUUUUAACACACGUACUAUUAAAUUAAUGGUUGUUUUAUUAUGCAAAUAAGGACAAUCAUUACAUAUGUAUU